rnacentral:rRNA from 1 species
AGAGUUUGAUCCUGGCUCAGAUUGAACGCUGGCGGCAUGCCUUACACAUGCAAGUCGAACGGCAGCGCGGGCUUCGGCCUGGCGGCGAGUGGCGAACGGGUGAGUAAUACAUCGGAACGUGCCCUGUUGUGGGGGAUAACUAGUCGAAAGAUUAGCUAAUACCGCAUACGACCUGAGGGUGAAAGCGGGGGACCGGUAACGGCCUCGCGCAAUAGGAGCGGCCGAUGUCUGAUUAGCUAGUUGGUGGGGUAAAGGCCUACCAAGGCGACGAUCAGUAGCUGGUCUGAGAGGACGAUCAGCCACACUGGGACUGAGACACGGCCCAGACUCCUACGGGAGGCAGCAGUGGGGAAUUUUGGACAAUGGGGGCAACCCUGAUCCAGCAAUGCCGCGUGUGUGAAGAAGGCCUUCGGGUUGUAAAGCACUUUUGUCCGGAAAGAAAUCGCGCUGGCUAAUACCUGGCGUGGAUGACGGUACCGGAAGAAUAAGCACCGGCUAACUACGUGCCAGCAGCCGCGGUAAUAC